rnacentral:rRNA from 1 species
GACGUAGGGCGCAAGCGUUUGUCCGGAUUUAUUGGGCGUAAAGAGCUCGUAGGCGGCUUCGUUGCGUCGGCUGUGAAAACCCCGGCAGCUCGAACUGUGGGCUUGCAGCCGAUAACGGGCGGGCUGGAGUUCGGGUAGGGGGAGGACUGGGAAUUCCUGGUGUAGCGGUGAAAUGCGCAGAUAUCAGGAGGGAACACCGGUGGCGAAGGCGGGUCUCUCGGGCCGGAUACUGACGUGAGGAGCGAAAAGCGUGGGGGAGCGAACAGG